rnacentral:rRNA from 1 species
AUUGAACGCUGGCGGCAGGCCUAACACAUGCAAGUCGAGCGGAUGAGGGGUGCUUGCACUCCGAUUCAGCGGCGGACGGGUGAGUAAUGCCUAGGAAUCUGCCUGGUAGUGGGGGACAACGUUUCGAAAGGAACGCUAAUACCGCAUACGUACUACGGGAGACAGCGGGGGAUCUUCGGACCUCACGCUAUCAGAUGAGCCUAGGUACGAUUAGCUAGUUGGGGAGGUAAAGGCUCACCAAGGCGACGAUCGUUAAUUGGGCUGAGAGGAUGAUCAGUCACACUGGAACUGAGACACGGUCCAGACUCCUACGGGAGGCAGCAGUGGGGAAUAUUGGACAAUGGGCGAAAGCCUGAUCCAGCCAUGCCGCGUGUGUGAAGAAGGUCUUCGGAUUGUAAAGCACUUUAAGUUGGGAGGAAGGGCAGUAAGUUAAUACCUUGCUGUUUUGACGUUACCGACAGAAUAAGCACCGGCUAACUUCGUGCCAGCCGCCGCGGUAAAAC